rnacentral:rRNA from 1 species
UACGUAGGGGGCAAGCGUUGUCCGGAAUCAUUGGGCGUAAAGAGCGUGUAGGCGGUUCGGUAAGUCGGCUGUGAAAGUCCAGGGCUCAACCCUGGGAUGCCGGUCGAUACUGCCGGACUAGAGUUCGGAAGAGGCGAGUGGAAUUCCCGGUGUAGCGGUGAAAUGCGCAGAUAUCGGGAGGAGCACCAAUGGCGAAGGCAGCACUCUGGGACGUGACUGACGCUGAGACGCGAAAGCGUGGGGAGCAAACAGG